rnacentral:rRNA from 1 species
AUACGUAGGUGGCACGCGUUAUCCGGAUUUAUUGGGUUUAAAGGGUGCGUAGGCGGCUGAUUAAGCGUGAGGUGAAAUGCCACUGCUCAACAGUGGAACUGCCUCGCGAACUGGUUGUCUUGAAUGCUCCUGCCGUGGGAGGAAUGUGUGGUGUAGCGGUGAAAUGCGUAGAGAUCACACAGAACACCGAUUGCGAAGGCAUCUCACGAAGGGGUGAUUGACGCUGAGGCACGAAAGCGUGGGGAUCAAACAGGAUUAGAUACCCUGGUAGUCCACGCAGUAAACGAUGAUAACUAACCGCUGGGUCGUAGUGAUUCAGUGGCCAAGCGAAGGCGGUAAGUUAUCCACCUGGGGAGUACGACCGCAAGGUUGAAACUCAAAGGAAUUGACGGGG